UGUAUAUAAUAUUACAUAUUAUAUAUGUAUGAAUAUGUAUAUAUCUCUGGAAAUGAGAGAGUAAGACUUUGCCCAGAAAAAACUGACUCACUUUAUUUGGUUGAUAAUCACAUGGUCACCCUGCACCCAGACAGAAUUCUUAUUAUUAAAUUGAUGCCAUUCUUAAAUUCUAUAGUCUAAACAUUCUUUAAUUCUUCUAUAUCCUGCACUUUGGAGCCCCUAUGCCACUUAGCUUUCAGCAAUCCCAAAUCCAAUACUCUGUGAAUUCAUUAGCCUACACUAGCAGAACUUACUUGAUGUGAUCAAAUCCAUUCCAUACAUCUUCAGUGAUGGUUAUUUGGAGUCUUGUCCUAAAUCCUCCUUAUUAGUGUGCCCUGUUGUUAAAGCUACUUUUAUUUAAAAUUCUAGUUUCUAACAAGUCUCUCAAUGUCCUUUACUUUUCCUUUUGCAUGAGAUUAUACUUUAUUUUGUAAAAAACGAGUAAUAUUUGAUCAAGAUAAAUGAAAGCAGUAUUUUUCCAUGUUUUUUUUUUCCAGUUAUAGGAAUCAGAUGUAGACUUGGCAUCUGCCUACUAAGCUUUGCCAAAGAAUGUAGUUAGAGCUUAAAGAAAUUCUACUUUUGACACAAGAACUGAAAAUGUGUUGACUCCUUUAAUGAAGAUUUCUAGAGCUAAUCAAUGGCUUUUUCCUGUAACACAUCCUUUUCAGGCACAGAAAAUCUUUAUUGCCACAGAAAGCAAGUGCACUCGUCCCACCUCAUCAACAGAUUUAAGAGUCACAGAAACGCAGACUUCACAUAAUAAAGUACAACACAGACUUGGGGAGAAAUGGUCCCUUGGACUAUAUUGGCUGUAAUACUGAGGUAACCAUUUGGCCUUGUUCAAUAAAAUACCUCUAACACAAUGAAAAAAAAUCA
rnacentral:lncRNA from 12 species